rnacentral:rRNA from 1 species
GAUGAACGCUGGCGGCGUGCCUAAUACAUGCAAGUCGAGCGAACAGACGAGGAGCUUGCUCCUCUGACGUUAGCGGCGGACGGGUGAGUAACACGUGGAUAACCUACCUAUAAGACUGGGAUAACUUCGGGAAACCGGAGCUAAUACCGGAUAAUAUAUUGAACCGCAUGGUUCAAUAGUGAAAGACGGUUUUGCUGUCACUUAUAGAUGGAUCCGCGCCGCAUUAGCUAGUUGGUAAGGUAACGGCUUACCAAGGCGACGAUGCGUAGCCGACCUGAGAGGGUGAUCGGCCACCCUGGAACUGAGACACGGUCCAGACUCCUACGGGAGGCAGUAGUAGGGAAUCUUCCGCAAUGGGCGAAAGCCUGACGGAGCAACGCCGCGUGAGUGAUGAAGGUCUUCGGAUCGUAAAACUCUGUUAUUAGGGAAGAACAAAUGUGUAAGUAACUAUGCACGUCUUGACGGUACCUAAUCAGAAAGCCACGGCUAACUACGUG